rnacentral:ncRNA from 1 species
AUACAUAAGUCACUUCGUUUAUUUAGUUUAGUGAUGUUUAUUAAAUUAUACGAAAGUGCCUUAUUUUCCCAAAGUGUUUUAAUGUAAAAUUACAUAUAAAUACGUAGUAUUUAUGGCAAGACUCCUGAGGGAACAGUACUAGUUGAAGACCUUAGAAAUUCUCACAGAUUUAUCUGUGUAGAAUUUCUGGCUGAAACUGUACCAUCGGAAGGGACCCAACACAGAGAAACUGAUUAAAUCAG